GGUGGCAGAGAGGCUGAAUGCGGCGGGUUGCUAACUCGUUAUACAACCUUGUGUUGUAUCGAGGGUUCGAAUCCCUCUCUCACCGCCA
rnacentral:tRNA from 1 species